rnacentral:rRNA from 1 species
GACGAACGCUGGCGGCGUGCUUAACACAUGCAAGUCGAGCGGUGAGGCCCGGCUCUUGUGCCGUUCUGGAGAGCCGAAAAGGGGAGUGUCACGUGAGUAGACUCUGCUUUACUUUGGGAUAACUUCAGGGGACAGGAGCGAAUACCGCGUAUAAGAACCUUAUGCAUAGGGUGGGUUGGAGAGUGUCGUAGUUUUGGGAUGGACUCGCGGUUUAUCAGCGUGUUGGUGGGGUGGUGGCGUAACAAGGCAUUGAGGGGUAGCCGGCCUGAGAGGGUGACCGGCCCCAUUGGGACUGAGAUGCCGCCCAGACUCCUACGGGAGCCAGGAGCGGGGGAUAGUGCACACUGGGCGGAAGCCGGAUGGAGCAACGCCGGGUGGUGGAUGACUGCCUUCGGGUUGUAACCCGCUUGCGCGUGUAACGCAGCGUGAGUGACGGUAACGAGUAAAGAAGCACCGGCUAACUACGUG